CGGGGCGUGGCUCAGUUGGCUAGAGCGCUCGGUUCGGGACCGUGAGGUCGCUGGUUCAAGUCCAGUCGCCCCGA
rfam:Candidatus Endomicrobium trichonymphae strain CET450 CET450_Contig643, whole genome shotgun sequence.